GCGGAAGGAUCAUUAAACGAAGUUCUGAAAGGGGUUGUAGCUGGCCUUCCGGGGCAUGUGCACACCCUGCUCAUCCACUCUACACCUGUGCACUUACUGUAGGUUUGGCGUGGGCUUCGGGGCCUCCGGGCUUUGAGGCAUUCUGCNGGCCUAUGUAUCACUACAAACACAUAAAGUAACAGAAUGUAUUCGCGUCUAACGCAUCUAAAUACAACUUUCAGCAACGGAUCUCUUGGCUCUCGCAUCGAUGAAGAACGCAGCGAAAUGCGAUAAGUAAUGUGAAUUGCAGAAUUCAGUGAAUCAUCGAAUCUUUGAACGCACCUUGCGCUCCUUGGUAUUCCGAGGAGCAUGCCUGUUUGAGUGUCAUGGAAUUCUCAACCCACACGUCCUUGUGAUGUUGCGGGCUUGGAUUUGGAGGCUUGCUGGCCCUCUGCGGUCGGCUCCUCUUGAAUGCAUUAGCUUGAUUCCGUGCGGAUCGGCUCUCAGUGUGAUAAUUGUCUACGCUGUGACCGUGAAGCGUUUGGCGAGCUUCUAACNGUCCUGUAUGGGACAACUUCUUGACAUCUGACCUCAAAUCAGGUAGGACUGCCCAGCUGAACUUAAGCAUAUCAAUAGCCGGGAGGAAGAUAUUAACGAGUUCUGAAAGGGGUUGUAGCUGGCCUUCCGGGGCAUGUGCACACCCUGCUCAUCCACUCUACCCGGGGCCUUACUGGAAGGUUUGGCGUGGGCUUUCGGGCCUUCGGGCUUUGAGGCAUUCUGCUGGCUAUGUAUCACUACAACACAUAAAGUAACAGAAUGUAUUCGCGUCUACGCAUCUAAUACACUUUCAGCAACGGAUCUCUGGGCUCUGCAUCGAUAAAACGCAGCGAAAUGCGAUAAGUAAUGUGAAUUGCAGAAAUCGUGAAUCAUCGAAUCUUGAACGCACUUGCGCUCUUGGUAUUCGAGAGCAUGCUGUUGAGUGUCAUGGAAUUCGACCAACGUCUGUGAUGUGCGGCUGAAUUGAGCUAGCUGCUCUGCGUCGUCGUCUGAUGCAUACUGAUCCUGCGAUCGCUCAUGUGAUAAAGUCUACUUGACUGAGCAUGGCAGCUCUACUUCGAGGACUCUGACCUG
rnacentral:rRNA from 1 species